rnacentral:rRNA from 1 species
GACGAACGCUGGCGGCGUGCUUAACACAUGCAAGUCGAACGAAGAGCGAUGGAAGCUUGCUUCUAUCAAUCUUAGUGGCGAACGGGUGAGUAACGCGUAAUCAACCUGCCCUUCAGAGGGGGACAACAGUUGGAAACGACUGCUAAUACCGCAUACGAUCUAAUCUCGGCAUCGAGGAUAGAUGAAAGGUGGCCUCUACAUGUAAGCUAUCACUGAAGGAGGGGAUUGCGUCUGAUUAGCUAGUUGGAGGGGUAACGGCCCACCAAGGCGAUGAUCAGUAGCCGGUCUGAGAGGAUGAACGGCCACAUUGGGACUGAGACACGGCCCAGACUCCUACGGGAGGCAGCAGUGGGGAAUCUUCCGCAAUGGACGAAAGUCUGACGAAGCAACGCCGCGUGAGUGAUGACGGCCUUCGGGUUGUAAAGCUCGGUUAAUCGGGACGAAAGGCCUUCUUGCGAAUAGUGAGAAGGAUUGACGGUACCGGAAGAGAAAGCCACGGCUAACUACGUG